ACUGAUUGAACGUGCUUGCACGGACUUGACGUUGGUUUACCAGCGAGUGGCGGACGGGUGAGUAACACGUAGGUAACCUGCCCCAAAGCGGGGGAUAACAUUUGGAAACAGAUGCUAAUACCGCAUAACAAUUUGAAUCGCAUGAUUCAAAUUUAAAAGAUGGCUUCGGCUAUCACUUUGGGAUGGACCUGCGGCGCAUUAGCUUGUUGGUAGGGUAACGGCCUACCAAGGCUGUGAUGCGUAGCCGAGUUGAGAGACUGAUCGGCCACAAUGGAACUGAGACACGGUCCAUACUCCUACGGGAGGCAGCAGUAGGGAAUCUUCCACAAUGGGCGCAAGCCUGAUGGAGCAACACCGCGUGAGUGAAGAAGGGUUUCGGCUCGUAAAGCUCUGUUGUUAGAGAAGA
rnacentral:rRNA from 2 species